UGGGGAUUAGCUCAGUUAGUUAGAGCGUUUGCCUGUUAAGCAAAAUGUCAUUGGUGCAAGUCCAAUAUCCUCAGCCA
rnacentral:tRNA from 1 species